AUACGGAGGAUGCGAGCGUUAUCCGGAUUUAUUGGGUUUAAAGGGCGCGUAGGUGGGAUAUUAAGUCAGCUGUGAAAGUUUGGGGCUCAACCUUAAAAUUGCAGUUGAUACUGGUUUCCUUGAGUACGGUACAGGUGGGUGGAAUUUGUGGUGUAGCGGUGAAAUGCCUAGAACUUACGAAGAACUCCGAUCGCGAAGGCAGCUCACCGGGCCGGAACUGGCACUGAUGCUCGAAAGUGCGAGUAUCAAACAGGAUUAGAUACCCUGGUAGUCCGCACAGUAAACGAUGAAUACUCGCUGUUUGCGAUACACGGUAAGCGGCCAAGCGAAAGCGUUAAGUAUUCCACCUGGGGAGUACGCCGGCAACGGUGAAACUCAAAGGAAUUGACGGGG
rnacentral:rRNA from 1 species